UGUGUGUGUGUGUGUGUGUGUGUGUGUGUGUGUUGAAGAGAGAGAAUGAGUGAGUGAGAGAUCUGUGUGAUUGAGUGAGGGUUAUGGUGUGUGGCUGAAAGGAUUAGAGCACAAGGUGGUGUGAACUGUACGAGAGCUCAUCAACUGUGUGUUUGUGUGUGUUGUCUUUGUGUCUGAGUGCCAUAUCAACGUAAUGUGUGUAUUUCUCAUUAUAAGUGUGUGAACUCACAUCUGUCUCCUGGUGAUACUUGAUCAAUCCUUGAGAUGUUAAUUCAUGGUGUCUCUUUCUCUAUCUCUCUUCCUCACACACACACACGCACGCACGCACACAUACACACACACACACACUGACUUGUUCUGACAGAAUCCAUGGGGUGAAAUAUAAUGACCUGGAGAACCAUUCAACAUCUCUCCUAUCAACACCAUCCGUCCUAUUGUUUACCACCCAUUCUUCCUCCUGUCCUCCUCUUCCUCCCUCGCAAGAUGAGUCAAUCCUGUUGCCCUUUUCCUUUUAUCCUCCUCUCAGCUUUUCUUUCUGUCUUUUAUAUAGAACGCUGUCUUCCCUCUCUCCUUCCUUCAAUUUUUUUCCUUUCUCCUCCUUUAUUCCAUUUUCUUACCCCUUCUCUUAAGGCCUCUCUUCUAUCUGCAUCUGUCCUCCCUUCCUUUCCUUCACCCCUUCUUGUCUUCGUUUUUCUUAGUAUUCUGUUAAAGUCACAACCCUAUUCAGUUCACGUGCUCAUCACUAAAUGACAAACCAGAGACAGCUUCCGCCUUUUAAAGGCCAAAGCGAGAUGUGUGCAAAUCUAUCUCUCCCUCUCUCUGUCCUUUUUACCGCUCAUACAAUAUGUGUUUUUUUGAGCCACCCUGAGCUGUCUAAAACUACAAGUAAUUGCACUAUUCACAGCAAAAGACCACACAGAAAGACAAAGUCUGGCUGCAGCCUGCAUGUCUGGAUUCUUUUUUCUUCAUUAUUUCCCAUGUUCAAAACACAGACUGACAGAGCUUUUUUGGCAGUCGCAGGUUGGCAGCCAUUUCUGCUUUUUGAUACAUGCUGUACACAUCAAAAUGAAACCCACCUGAUCUCAGUGUGUACCCUCUUAUUUGCAGAAUAGAGUUUACUCGCCUACAGAGGCAUACAUAAAUAUUUAUGAGAUAAAUUUGCCAUCUACAUCACAGUGAGUAUCAUCAAACAGAUGCAAGUUAUAUGAAGAUAGGCUGCUUUUAAGGAGGAAGACAAAAUUGAAUUUUGUUUACAUUGCUUUUGUAGCUCUUGAUGCUCAGACUUUCCUAUUUUCCACUACAUCACUGCAUAAAUCAUCCUGUACAAACUUGACUUUAAUGUUAGUUUGUUUUCAGUGAACACAAUAAUGUGGUUUGCAAAAAAAGAAAAAUCACAGGAACCAAUAAUUUUUCCUCCCAAAUGGAACCAGGUAAUGAUUCCUGCAUGAAAAUAUUUACAUGGGAGCUAUAAAAGCAGAUACUGUGUCCUGUCUACCUGCUGCACAGUAUGAAACCAGGGACGCCUCUUUUUGCAGUUAUUGUUUCCAGCAAAGAUUCACUGCAGGGAAACCUUUGAAGAAGAUGGGCUUGUAAAAAGAGUUUGUAAGUAUUAUUGGUUUACUGCUGUGCUUUGUACUAAACAGCUUGAUCUGAAUAUAUAACUAGUCCUGCAGUCAGCAGCUCUCACUGAAUAUUUUGGAAUCUGUUAAGCCUCAUGUAGCUUAGAAAGAAACAAAGCUCUGAUCAAUUAUGAUACCAAAGAUGAGACAAUUAGUUCCUGCUGGUGGCCUCCCUUAUUUCAAGUCAUCAUGACUUCACCACAAAGUAAUGUCCUUCAAAUUCCCUCUGCAGGAGAACACCCGACUUACACUCCUUAUGUUUGUUUGCAGUGCUCAGCCUAUGCAGCUAAUGCAACUUUAUUUAUGAUCAUGUAUGAUGACAUUAGAGAGGGAUUCACUUUAUGGCCCAAUUUUAUGCUAUCCCUCCUCCACAUAUUGUGAGUUGCACACAAUUGGGAUGAGGUAUAACAAAACUAUGACCCUGUGUGGAGUUGUGUGUUGCUGUGCAUGGAAGUACAGCAUAAAUUGGACCGUCAUAAAUCUACUUUAUUGUGUUGUGUCUGUGUAUGUUUGCCCAAGUGUGAGUGGACUUGCUUUUUACUAUCCUGUGACGCCCAAAAAGGCCCCCGUGGGGAUAGAUAACCCUAAAAAAGUGGCCGCCUGUGGCUCAUUUAUCCUGCAGUUUAUUAGGAAACUGUCUGUUUUUAGGGUUGGGUGUUUGAGUUAAGAGUAAGGAUUGUAACUUACCAGUGAAUUAAAAUGUGUGUUUACUGUAGUUAAACAGAAACAUGUGGAGCUUGACCAUGCGAUCCAAGAGUGCUUUAAAAAAAGGGAAAAAAAUCUUCAAUUUUAGUGUGGCCUCUUAUGUGUAUGUGUGUGUGUGUGUGUGUGUGUGUGUGUGUGUGUGUGUGUGUGUGUGUGUGUGUGUGUGUGUGUGUGUGUGUGUGUGUGUAUGCAAUGCCGUCUAGUAUUACUUGGCACUAGCUGGCAGCUAUGUAGCUCAAUAGUGGAAUUAGGGUGUUAUUGGAUAUUGGAUGGACUGUAACACAUUACACCACUUCACUGUCAUGGGCGGCGGAGUGCUUAUAGCAAACAUCAAUUACUGUGCACACUCAAACAUGCACUCCUCCAAACACACACACAGACCGCACAAACCCUCACACAUGAUAACAUCCAUUUGAUACACACACAUGCCUUUUAUGAAAUUUGGAGCUUCAAAGUGAACGACAAAAGAGAGAUGUUUAAAAAAAUGUUUUCUCUGAGAGAUUUAGGGAAGAAGGAAAGUGUGCGCAGCACAUUAAGCAUGUUCUUCCCUUUAUGUGAGCAUGCAUAAAGCUCUUUUACAUCAUUUUAGAUAAUUUCUCGCUAGGCUCCAGCUAAAACGUAUUCUCUCCUUUUAUCAGCUUUUUUAUCGCUCUAUCCUCUUAACAAGCAUUUUCCUGUCUCUUCUUGCUAAGUACAAGCUUUUUUCAGAGCCUCACUCCCUUUCGUCAAUCUUUCCAUUUCACCAACUCCCAUUCAUUCAUCACAAUCAUUCUUUUUUGUCUUUGCUUUCAACCAAUUCCUCCUUUAGACUUGAUGUACUUUACAUUGCAGAUAUGAUGAAGUAUGGGUGUAGCACACUAUCUUGAAUCAGUCCUGACCUUUGGAGUGCAUAGUAUAAUUUCUGUGUUUUAAUGCAUUCUUGCAGUUAUUGCUGUCAGGGGAGCAAUAAUGUUGAUUGAAUUGUAAUGCUUGAAAUUGAAUCUUUUCUCUUUGUCUUCCUAUCCUCCUUCUCCACCUUCUAUCUGUCUCCAGAGACUCCUAUCUCCUUUUUAGUCUGGUUUUUCCAUUCUCUUUCACUCUCCAAAUCUUCACUUUCUCUCGUUGUUUACGCAGUUUUCAUAUCUGAAUCCACACUUGCUGGCUCAAUUCAGAUUUCUGUACAGCUGAUGUAGAUUUUAGAUGUAAAUGUGGAUCUCAAAGUUUCAGGAUCACUUUGGCAGAAUUUCAGGUGUGGAGUCUUUCUUUACAAGCACACUAACACACAGAAAUAUUCUGAUACUAACCUCAUUUAAGCUUGCACCAAACUUCCAUGUACUAGAAUGACAAAAGUAGCUGGUAAAUGUUACUUCAGCUGUCUUACUAACAUCGUUCUUAUCCCAUUGCCAACAUUUCUGGUUUUGCCUGGAUUUCUGGGAUAUGUGCAAAUGGCAGCUGCAGGAAAGGUAAAGGUUAGAAAAAGGUUGUUGUUUUGUUUUAUUAAAAUCCCAAUGAUAUUUGCAGGUCAGGACUGUCCAGUGUAGAUGUAAGUCUAAUGCAUCAGUCUUAUUUAAGCUGGUGUCUGCACUUGAGUGUAUAAGGCUGUUUUUUAGAAAAAUGAAAGGCCACUGCACAAAGAAUGGAAUUAAAUGUUGUUCUCGUUCAACGUUCUGGACAUACUCUGUUUGGUGUGGGCAAGCAGUGAUACUGGGUACAAUAAGCAGAUUGUUUUGGAGGACUUACCUGCAAUCUAGAUAACCAAGAAAUGAGGGGACAAUUUGCAGUCAAGCAACAAGGUCUGCAUAUAAGUCAGGACUGCUGCAGCAGUUGCGACCAAUACCAAGGUGAGACCACACAAGCUUUUUGUCUGUCAUAACAGUCACUGAGAAGCCUGUUGGUAGUCAACACUGUAGAUGUGUUCUAGGGUCACAAGAAGAGGACUGUCAAUACUUCAAAAAGAACUCAUGGUAAGAAUUCAAAACUCAAAAAUGAUAUUUGUCUCCUGUUUGUUCUUGGAGUAAACUAUUCCACUGAAUGUGAUGGGUUUCUUUUGUUUAUUACAGGAAUUGAUAGAAAGAGGAUGAAAACAACACAACUUUUAAAGCAGACUUAAAAAAACAUGAUUUUGAAUGUUUGAAAGACCCACUCUGAUGAAAAUCACAUUUUUCUUGCUGUCUUUAUGUUCAUGUGGCAUUUUUCUGAUGCUACGGGACAUACCAUGAGAAAACUAAGUGCAAAAUUCUAAUUCUGAGUAUUUUUUUCAUUCAAAUCACUGUGAAUCUCUGGCAGACCCAAACAGCAGGUUCAGACACAGUGGGAUUUUCUAUGUCACAAUUCCAUCUCUGCCCCCGGAGCCCCACUUUGCAGGCC